GACGAACGCUGGCGGCGUGCUUAAUACAUGCAAGUCAACUUGACUUUAGAUAGCAAUAUCGAAAAGUAGGGUGGCGCACGGGUGCGUAACGCGUAGGUAAUCUGCCCUGAGGUCUGACAUAACCCGUCGAAAGGCGGCUAACAUCAGAUGAUAUAUAAUCACGACAUCGUGGAAAUAUCAAAUCUUCGGAGCCUUGGGAUGAGCCUGCGUCUGAUUAGGUAGUUGGCGGAGUAAUAGCCCACCAAGCCUACGAUCAGUAGCCGUGU
rnacentral:rRNA from 1 species